GAUAAUUUAGCAACUAAUUCGAGCAUCGGAUUUGGUCUUUCAGUUUCUAGAAAUUGAAUCAUCAAUUAUUUAAUUUUAUCAGUGACAAACAGCGCAUUUGUUAAUUGGCAAAGAUGACUAAAAGUUCCUUCCAGAUAAAGCAUGAUUUUCGAAGCCACCAGAUUUGAAAAAGCAAGAGCUGGCAAAGCGGUACAAGCUUUGUCAUUUUUUGGCUACAAUAUGAAUAGAAUUUUUCAAGGAUAUGUAUCAUCAUUAAUGGUACUUAUCAUACUGUGAUAGUGAUACAAUUACUCAAAGAGGACAAAUGCUAUUGAGGAUUUGACUGAAGCCGUAGAGGUUGGCAAUAAACAAGAUAUUGAAAAAUUCAGUAAACGGAUUGUGAAGGUGACAAAGCAGCGCAAUGAAGACUGCAAAAGACUUCUAAGACUAACGGGAGUGAUUGUAGUUGAUUGCCCUACAAUGGAAAGUAAGCCAGGGGGAG